rnacentral:rRNA from 1 species
UACGUAGGGGGCGAGCGUUGCUCGGAAUCACUGGGCGUAAAGCGCACGUAGGCGGCUUUUUAAGUCAGGGGUGAAAUCCUGGAGCUCAACUCCAGAACUGCCUUUGAUACUGGGAAGCUUGAGUCCGGAAGAGGUGAGUGGAACUCCGAGUGUAGAGGUGAAAUUCGUAGAUAUUCGGAAGAACACCAGUGGCGAAGGCGGCUCACUGGUCCGGUACUGACGCUGAGGUGCGAAAGCGUGGGGAGCAAACAGG